rnacentral:lncRNA from 1 species
GAAUGAAAUAUUACACUUUCCCUCUCCUCGUCAAGAAUAUUUCCUAAGAUUUAUUCUCUACGACCUUCUUCUUCUUCAGCUAACAGAGUAAUUCAGCUCAAUCACCAAGGCAGAGCUCCAGGUGAAUUCAACAGAAAAAGAUGGUUCUUCAAUCAUAGGUAAGCAAACGAAAGGGAGAUUUGGUUUAAAAGCAAACUUACCGUAAUAAGCAAAGAAAGUAGUGAGGAAAAAUAAAAUGAUGAUUAAUGAUGGUUCCUUUCAGGUACCCAUUUCACGUUUUUUAGUGUUUAAAACAUGAGUGGUUUAAAUUAAAGGCAAAUCCAAGAUUUAAACUUUAUGGCUUCUAUCUUUAAAUUUUUUAUCAUUGAACUUAAUAGAUUGAAAGAGGAGAUGGUGAUUGUGGUGCAAUCUGAAGAAGGUAGAGGUUGUAGUUGUGGUGAUUGUCAGAUCUGAAGACGGAGGAAGUGGUGGUAGUGAUAAUGGCCAGACUUGAAGAGAAGGGGUUGUAGCCGGAGAAGAAAAGGUAGCUAGUCACCAGCAAAAAUUAUUUUCAGGAAAAACUAAUCAUUUUCUGGCAGUAAUAUAAGUCUUAGGUUGUUCACACGCUUGGAAAAGGUGAUAAAAUUAUAUAGUUACGUGUCAGCAAAAUGUAUUUAAUUGUGUGCAACAUUAAAUGUUCAAUAAGUAAAGGUUACAGUUAAAGUGUCUAACUGAAAUUUUGUGACAAAUUUAAGGGUCGCCUAUGUAUUUGGCCUAGGAUUAAACUUGAGGCUUUUAAACUUGCUAUCAGAUUUGGGAAUUCAUAGUGCUUAGGAGACUAAUUUUCCAACCAACAUCCUUAAAAAUCCUAAUAAUUAAUCAUGAGACUAAUUAAGGCAUCACUCUCCCUAAUUCUUCCUUCCCUAUUGGUAGCUACCAGUAAUCAGGGUUCUUAACUCCUAAUAACCAGUUUGAAAAAUGACAAAAAAAGAUCUAAUAAUUAAAAGAGCAAGACAAAAUUUAGUCGUACUAUGCUUCAUUAAAAAGAUGUGUGAAUACUAUAUUUUCUUAGUAGUUUGGUGAAACAAUCCCAUCUCUUGCAAAACACACAAAAAAAAAAAAAAAUAAAAAAAGAAGACAAAUUAAAAAAAGAAUUAGCUGGUUCCCACGAUCCAUAUGGGUCAUCUUUUAAAGCCUUUUUUCGGUAAUUAAAUUUUAUUACCUGGGCAAAAGGUAUUUACAGUUAGAUACAAAAAAAAAACCUUAAAAACUGGAGAAUACUCCAACUUCAUUGGUCACCUAUCCAGAUUUUCCAGCUUAACAUUUUGCCUGAAGUUACUUUACACCAUAUCAUACACAAUAAUUUCUGACUAUAUUCUUAGGUGAACUGGAGAAAACUAUAUCUUCUUAGUAGUCUGCUUUGGUUUCAUAAUUCAUAUUCUUUUAUCUAUUUUGGAUAAAUUUCUAAGUAUCAUCAUUAAUUUUCUCAAUUUCAGUAUUGCUAACAAAAUUAUGUUUGGAAUUAGGAUAUUGAACUCCAAAUAGUUGUGCUAUCUCUAUCUCUUUUUUUGGAAAUAGGAAAAUUUUAUUCAUUACUGAGUACUAACGUUACACAAGGAUGUUGUCCCAUUGGGAUAACAGUUUAUGAUCCAAAAAUUAGAUAUAGGUUUUUAUACAAUCAAAUUUAUAGAAAAGAAGGGUUAAUCACAGCCAAUAUUAAUAUUUAAUAGCAGAUCUAGCACUUUUAUGGCGGAUAUUUAUUGUAUAGUAUUAGAUAUGAUUAUCUUGAAGCAAUGAUUCAGUAAAAUUCUAUAAACGUAAAAGAUAAUAAUAAAUGAUAAUAAAUGACUUUUGAGUAAUAAAUGAGACAGAAUUCACCUGACAAGGGUGGGAUCUUCAAAUAUGUUUUCUGACAGUGAUGAAUGAUGAUAAGCAGUUGAAUAUUUUGAUUCUUCUUGGAUCGGAAUAGAAGAGUCAAAGAAAAGAAGGUGUAAAGUUAGGCUUUGUUUCUAUCCAAUAAAACGAGUAUCUUGCACAGAGAAUGUUGAUGAUUUUCUUUACAAAAAGAUCUAAUCCCCUUUUUUCAUCCACAUCUUUUUCUAUUUAUAUAAACACAUAUGUUUCUAAUCUCUAGAUAGUACAACAGAAGAAAUAUAUAUUAGAAUAUUCUCUAGGUAAUCUAAAUCCUAAAGCUGGUCGUCACUUUGUAUAGAAAGCCAAUGCUCGUCCUCGUCCUCGUCUUUUGUUGAAUAGUUUUGAUUUUUGACCCCGACUUAUUUUCUGCAUCUGACCUCGACCUCUUGGAGUGAGGUUGACACGUCACAGCCUUCAAAGGCCCUAUUGCCGUUGAUCUGGUCAAAUAUCUAAGAUGAUGUUUUCGCCCUUAUAGUUAGUCCCUCCGCUUGCUGAGGUCAUCCUUAGGGACGAGCUUGAUAAGUAGAUAAUAGCGGGUGUGGUCAUCAUCAGAGGCGGAUGGCAUGGCAUUUUGUGAGUCAUAUGUUUCAAACUCUUGUCGUCUUAAUAUUCCCGGGUGAUUUUUGGAGAGAGCCUGACAUGGUAGAGAUGUGACAUCAUUCAUCAUGAUGACGUCUGUUCCUGAUGCGUCACGUCAAUACAUAGGUAGCUUGUGGAUUGGUUCUAACGUUUUGAUUGCGGCUGCCAUUGUGAUGCAUCGCUUCGAAUCCUGAGACUCCUCCUUUAUAAAUAGGGGGAUGAUCACCGCAAUUCGAAUUCUUUCUUUACUUCCAUUGCCAAAGCUUUCUUCAUCUCCUUCUUAGACUCUAUUUCUCUGUUCAUUACUCCUAAAGUUUUUCUCCAUUUUCUUAACUCUUUCCCUUCCUAAAUUCCCCAAACUUCACAAUCAUGUCUAACUUGUCUUCUAAUGUUUGGGGCGGAGAGGUUUUUUAUAUGAAGAGGAGAUUUCGGCUACCUCACUGGCUGUUGCAGCCUUCAUUCGCAGAGGAGACGCCACCACCGUCGUUGAAAUAGAAGCCCUUCUCUCAAUAGAAGAAAUUAUUCCUUUCAAUCCCGACGCGAAACUGGACUUGCAAUGGCAGCAAAUGGCGGUGAGUGAGGUUUUUCGAUCCUCUCUAACAACCAAGUAUUUGGCGGAGUUCAAGGAUAAGUAUGGCCUUCUUAACCAAGUGGAGCUUGUGUCGCCGGUGAUGAUGAAGUGUACACUCAUUGUCCGGCCCUCUUUGCCUACCCCUUCACCAUUGGAUAUUCAUUUCCUCUUCCCCCUUUGGUUGAGAAAUUGUGCCACUAUUACAGGGUCUGUCCGGCUUAACUCACGCCCUUGGUUUACAAGGUAAUCAAGAUACUGUCUAAAUCUGUCAAGCUGGAUGAUGUUGAGAUCACUAUAUGGCAUUUGGUGCACAUGUUCAUGCCCAACUUCUAUCGGGCACGAUGUUGAGCAUUCGACAUCGUAGAAGCAAAUCCCUGGUCAUUAAGAUUGACAACAAGUGCAGUCGACAAUUUUGGCUCGACUUCUUUUUUGUCAAGACCGAGUCCAUAGUGGUUGAUGUCACAAACUCUCGUGAGGCUUGGAAUCGUGACCGUAUGUAUCGCUUAUCCUUGUUCUCUCAUGCAGUUGUACAUUUCGACAUAAUGAGUUAACUCUUCUUGUUUUGCAGCUACUUCUUGGAGUCUUCAGUCGGUGGCGCACCUCGCCGACUGUGUCAGGCAGGUCCUCCCUUGUACUGCGGGGACCAGAGAUUGGUAUGGCUUUUGGUAGAAGUAUAAACUGGCUCCCCUCCCAAAAGAUAACAUUAAUGCAUUAUUUUCAAAUUUGUACUUGGUUUCAUUAUCUAAUUAUGUUUGUUUUCGUGUCCCCUUCCAGGCCCUGCCAAGGAGGCCACCAAGAGGAACUUGGAACCAACAUCUUCUUUCAGGAGAAGGAGGGGUGUUACCUCCUCUGCGCCUGCCUCCGAUUCGACCACUAUGAUAGUUCUUUCUUCAGCUCCUUCUCAAGUUGAAGAGGAAGAAAUUUCGUAGCACGACAUAGACUUGGGGCCUCGAAAGAGGAAGGCCAUAGAUGAGGCGCUGGUGUACUAGCAUCGGUUGACUAAUCUGAAGUCUCUCUUGAUAUCGAAGUGCAAAAUGCUAUGCCAGCCCGAGUCAAAGAACGUGCUGGGGCGGUCCCAGAGGUGCCUCAAGUGGAGGAAGCCGAUGUUGCGGCUUCUUUGUGACAUGAGGGGGGAUGAGGUCGCAUGGGGUUCUAAACAAAGAUACCAUACUUCCUGGGCGCGAGGAGGGUCCAUAUACUGAAUUGGCUCAGGAAACUUUCCCUAUUGAUAAGGGUAAAUACAAGAUGCCUGCCGAGCAGGGUGACAAGAAAAAUAAGCCCAUCAACGAUGAAUCCAUUUCUGAUUUCAACCCCGAAGAUCAUGAGAUGAUCUAAAGUGGGACGACUCAUAUCGAGGUAAAGGUACAAGGGGGGUUGAGAACCAUCACAAUCCUGAUAAAACACAACUGACUAAAGAACACCGAGGAUGUGGUUCAGGCUUUUUGUCCCUUAUGCUUGGAAACCAAGCACAGACUCUCAGGGAACUAAGUGACAACACUCUUUCCAGUAGAAUCGCCGCUUUCUCUUUCAGGGUAAGUCAUUUCCUUUCUCUCUCUUUCUCUUUUUUUUUGCUUUGGAUUUCUUUCGAUCCUUACCUUACUUGCCUUUUUUUCAUUCUCGUGUAGACCGUUAUUUUAGAGAUUGAGAGCGUGCAGAGAGAGAAAAGGAGGAUGGAGGUCCACCACAAAAUGCGGAAGAAGUAUGAGGAGUUUUGCGGGUGGUAUAGGGAGGCUGAGAGGCGGCUCCGUGAAAAGGGUGACGUACCCGCCCUAAGAGAGGAGCUGCGAAAGAAAGACAAAGAGUUGGUUGUGUCCGUGGAGCGGCUCAGCACUCUUGAAGGGGCAUUAAAGAGAAAGGACGAGGAGCUCGAGCUGAGCAGGGGCAUAGAAGCUCAAUUCCACGACCUUCAGGGUCGGGUCGACCAACUGCAAGGUCAGUUAAGUGAGUGCCAGUUCAAAGUGGAUGGGCUCUGGGGGAGGUAGCUGAAAAAUAGUAGCUAAUUGAUGAGGUUGAAUCCUCUCGUAAACAAGCUCGAAGAAGGGAUGCUCUUGUUGAGUUAGAGAAUAAAAGCCUCUGUGUUAACCGGGACAAUGUUCAGUCAAUGGCUGAAGCUAAGGAGGCUAGACUCAAGGAGAGGAAUGACGAGUUGGAGAGAGAGAACACCGAGAUGCUUGAGCGAAUUUCUGCUGCGGAAAAGCGAGAAGGAUGGACUAUUCGAACGACCUCCACUUUUCAUGCUAUGAUUUUUCGGCCAUUCCGUGAGGGUAGUAUGAGGAGUGGAUCCUUGCCGAGGUUUGAGUAGAGGUGGUUCGAGAGUUGGGUCAGACGAUCUUUGUCUUUGAGACGACCUUGAAGGAGGCUUGAGUUAAAGCUCGUGAGGCUCGGUUGGCGUGCAAUUACGACCCCGACAUGCCUCAGCCUGAUGCAGAGGAUGAUGAUGAAAGAGGCCUCCCUAAGCUUAAAGACAGCGCAUGGUGAGACUCCACUUACAACCGAGGCGAGGAUGAAUAGGGUGAUGGAGACCAAGGCAGUGACAAUCAUUAGACCUUCCGCCCUUGAUUUGUUUUAGCUUUUGUAAUUUGUACUUUUUCCUUCUCUCUCUUUUAGUUGGCGUAUUUGUGUGCCUUUGUAAAGACAACCUCUCUUAUCUUUGCAUAUUUUUGUUUUGGUGAUCGUGUGCUUUACUUUUGCACUUCUUUCCUUUGUUGAUGCCCUCAGGGUUGCGAUGAUCGCGUGGUUGGGAAGUUUUACUCAAGAGGGUUGAGUGGCCACAUGACGGGGAGUUUUAUUUAAGCUGAUUGAAUAUAUAUCUUUUUAGUUAAGGCGUGGCCAAGGGCCAAUAGGUUUUAUUCGAGCUGGUCCAACAUACUUUUUAGUUGAGAUGUGGCCAAGGGCCGAGAGUUUAUGUUCGAGCUGGUCGAACGUAUCUCUAUGUUAAGAUGUGGAUAGGGGCUGAGGAGUUUUUUUCGAGCUAAUCGAGUGUAUAUCUAAGUUGUGAUGUGGCCAGGGGCCGAGGAGUUUUGUUCGUGCUAAUCGAAUCAUACCUCUAAGUUGUGCCAUGGUGAGGGGCCGAGGAAUUUUGUUCAAGCUAGUCGAGUCAUACCUCUAAGUUAAGACGUGGACAGGGGCUGAGAAGUUUUGUUCGAGCUAGUCGAAUCAUACCUCUAAGUUGAGAGACUUAGGAGAGCAGUUUCUAUAAACAUGUAUCUCAUUUAUUUCAAUAACAUUGUAUUGAUUACAUCAUUUUGCCAGAGGCUUUUUGGAGAAAAUUACAAGUUUUGGGUACUGACUGGCACUUUAGUCCCAAUCCCAAUAUAUCUAGUCCCUUCAUUGUUCGACUCAGUGAUUUUUGAGCGUUCGGGCAAUCAAAUAUGGUUGUUCUCGCAUACUUCACCUUGAAAUGUCCUGUCCGCUACCUCGUUAAAAACCUCCUUGAGAAAACCCUGUGGGGACAAAACGCAAGUGAGGGAAAAAGAGUACAACUUACGCGACACUCCUUGUUUUUUAGAAGUUGAAGCAUUUGAGGUGGUUGAUGUUCCAAUUGUUCGAUAAGAGCUUUCCUUCCAAUGUCUCUAGUUGGAGUGAACCCUUGUAUGCCUUGCAUAUGAUUUUGUACAGUCUAUCCCAAUUGGAUACUAAUUUUCCUUCUCGGGGAUCUCUUCCUGCUUGGGUCUUGGCUUUGAGCAUGUAGUCCCCUAUCUUGAGUAAUUGUAAUUUGGCCUUUCUGUUGUAGUAGCAUUCUACUUGUUGUUUCUAUGCGACCAUUCAUACAUAUGCCAUGUCUCUCCAUUUUCCAACUUCAUCGAGGUCCUAUCUUUUGUUCUCGUCAUUGUCAUUACCACUCGGUUGUGUACCUUAGGCUGGGUUCUCCUACUUCGACCGGUAUGAAUGCUUCUAAUCUAGACUAAGGAGUAAGGUGUCUCUCUUGUACUCAUUUUUGGGGUUAUCCUAUGUGCCCACAACACUUCUAGAAGUGUCUUCGGCCACAUUCCCUUAGCAUCUUCGAAUCUCUUCUUCAGGAUGUUCAAAAUCGACUUGUUGGAGGAUUCUUCUUGCCUGUUGCCAGCGGGAUGGUACGAGGUUGAGAGUAUUCUUUUGACAUGCCACAUUUCGAGAAACUAGGUGGAUUUUCUCUCUGUGAAUUGGGGUCUGUUAUUGUAGCUUAUUUCUUUUGUAAUGACCCGGCCAGUCGUUUUGAGAGUUAGAGCCCUGAUCUCCUAUUAACUGCUUUCCCCGUAUCUUUUUCUACUAUUGUGACUUGCUGGGAAGAUUCGUUUUGAGUUUCGGAGUGUUUUGAGACACUUAGUCCCUAAAUGGAAUUUGAAUCUUAGAAUUUGAACCACAGUUAGAACUGUGUGAAGACGACUCUGGAAUGGAGUUCCCUCGAUUCCGUUAGCUCCAUUGGCUUAUUUUGGGCUUAGGGGCGUGUCCGGAUUGUGUUUUUGAGGUAUGUAGCUCAUUUAGGCUUGAAAUGGCGAAAGUCAAAUUUUUGGAGUUUUGGGCUGGUAGUGGAAAUUUUGCUAUAAAGGUCGGAAUCCGAUUCUGGAAGUUGAAAUAGGUCCAUAGUGUUGAAUAUGACUUGGGUGCCAAAUUUGGGAUUAAUUGGAUGUGGUUUGAUAGGUUCCGACAUCGGUACUGGAAACUUAAAGUUUCAAAUUUAUUAUGUUUGGAUUGGAGGGUAAUUUGUGUUUUUAGCAUUGUUUGAUGUGUUUUGAUGGCUCAACUAAGUUCAUAUGAUAUUUUAGGAUUGGUUGGUAUGUUUGGUUGAUGUCCCGGGGGCCUCGGGUGUGUUUCUGAUGCUCAACGAAUUGAUUUGGGACUUAUGCAAACUACUAAAGUUGUUGCACCUAGUGUUUUUUACCUACGCACUUUGGGGCCACCGGUGCGGAGCCGUAGAAGCGGAUAUGGGCCUGGUCCAGCUAGGUCCGCAGAUGUGGUGAGGGGUCCACAGAAGCUGAGGCGUAGAAGCUGUUGGGGACCGUAGAAGCGGACUCGCAGGUGCGGCCUAGAGCUCGCAGAUGCGGUACCAGCCCACUUAAGUUAAUUCCGCACCUGCGAUGUAAUUUCCGCAGGUGUGACGUUAGCAGGUGUGAAGAAGGGUCCGUAGGUGCGGUUUGACAGGCAGAAAAAGGGCAAAAUCAAGGGUAUGAUUUCAUUCUCCAUUUUUGGGCUUAGAGAGCUCGGAUUGAGGCGAAAUUUCGAGGGAUUUUCAGAGGAAGCUUGUGGGUAACGAUUCCUUACUUGAUUUUGGUUGUAUUUCAUUAUUGUUUUCUUCAUUUAAUCAAGGAAUUUGGGUGAGAAAGUUGGGAAAUGGGGAAAAAAUUCCCCAAUCAAAUUUUUGAGUUUUGAGUGGGAUUUUGACAUCAGAUUUGGAUAAUUUUCAGUACGAGUGAGCUCGUGAGUGAAUGGGUGUUCAUAAUUUGUGACUUUUACCCGAUUCUGAGGCGUGGGCUCGGGAAGGCUUUUUGGGCGUUUUUCUAAUUUCUUGCCUUAGCUUUGAUUUCGUUAGCUAGAUUAGUUUCUUGUAGCUAUAUUUAUGUUAUGUAAUUGGUUUUGGCUAGGUUUGGGCCAUCCAGAGGCGGAUAUUCGUAGAAAGAGCAUUAUUACGGAUUGAUUUGAGCUCGGUUCGAGGUAAGUGGCUUGCCUAACUUUGUGUGGGGAAACUCCCCUUAGGAUUUGAUAUUGUUUGAUAUAUGAGCGCCAUGUACGUAAGGUGACAAGUAUGUACACAUGCUAUUUAAUAAAACUUCGUUUUCACUAAGUCAUAACCUUUUUUCUCCUUGUUUGAACUACAAUAGAAUACGUAAAUACCUUGUUUAGAUUAGAAAAGCAUGCCAUCGUAUUUUAAACACCUAUUUAAACUCUCUGCAACAUGUUUAGUGAAAUUACUUGUUUUCUUUGAUGUGAACUUAGCCUAAACUGUAGGUCUCCUUGCUGUAACUGUUGGUUAUAUUGCUUGAGCUACAUAUUUACUUUGGGACUACAGAAUGGUAUUCCGGGAGAUCCCCCUGUACUGUAAUUUACUUUGGGACCGCGGAACGGUAUUUUGGGAGAUGCCCCUAUACUGCAUAGUUACUUUGGGACUACAGAACAGUAUUCCGGAGAUCCCCAGUACUGCAUAUUUACUUUGGGAUUACGGAACGGUAUUGCGAGAGAUCCCCUUGCACAUUUAUGUUUGGGACUACGGGACGGUAUUCUGGGAGACCCCCUGUUGCUAUAACUGUGUUCUGAGCUGUUGACUUUCAUUGAAUUUUAUUCCUGUUAGAUUUUCGUACUUAUUUUUCUGUAAUAUUUUCUUUCUUUCUUAUUUCAUUAUAUUUAUACUAGUAGGGCUCUGACCUGAUCUCGUCACUACUCGACCGAGGUUAGUCUUGGCACUUACUGGGUACCGUUGUGGUAUACUCAUGCCCUUUCCUGCACAUGCUUUCCGUGUGCUGAUCCAGGUACUAGCUAUCAGCCUCGAGUCUAGUUGUGUGGUUGCUGCUUCAUGAGACUUCAAGGUACAUCUUCCCGCAUCCGUAGACCUCAAAGUCCCCUUCUAUCCCCUAUGUUCGUUUUAUUUUUUUCCUUAGAAAUGAUGUAUAGAACAGUUAGGACUUCUUAGAAGCUUGUGACAUUGCGAAAUUCUGGGUUUUGGGAAAGAUGAUUAUUGUGUAUGCCGAGUGGCACCGUUUCUGCUUAUUUAUUUUAUCUGUUAGCUGUUAUCCUUGUGUUUUCAUUUCAUUUCCGCAAUAUUAGGCUUACCUAGUCGUAGAUACUAGGUUCCUUCACGACAGUUCAUAGAGGGAGAAAUUGGGUUGUGACAAGUUGGUAUCAAAGCUCUAGGUUCAUAGGAGUUCUGAGUCACAAGCCGGUUUGUUAGAGUCUUGUGGAUCAGUACGAAGCUGUUGGUACUUAUCUUCGGGAGGCUAUGGAACUGUAAGGAAAAUUCCACUUCAUUGAUUCCUUGUGGUGCGAGAUUAUUGACUUCGAAAUUCUAAACUUCUAUAUUCUAUUCUCCCACAGAUGGUGAGGAAACGUGCUACCAGAGAUGACCAGGCACCCGUGCCCCCUGCUGCAGCCGGCCGAGGCCGGGGCCGGGGUAGAGGCCGAGGACGUGCAUGCGGUGUAACUAGAGCACCCGCACGAGCUGCUACAGAGGAGCCACCAGUAGCUCCAGCCGGAGCACAGGAGCUGAAAUGCCUACUACUACUACUACUGUAGCUCUUCAAGAGACCCUUGCACAGUUCAUGAGCAUGCACAUCACUCUAGCUCAGGCAGGGUUGAUUCUCCUUACUGCAACCAUAUCUCAGGGCGGGGGAGGAGCUCAGACUACCGUCGCCUGCACCCCAGAGCAGCGGGUUUAGGUUGAUCAGUUCCUAGAGGUUAUACUAGUGCCGCCUACAGUACCAAUUCAGCCCGAAGGUAGGACAACAGCUUCAGAGGAGGAGCAACGGAGGCUCAAGAGGUACAAGAAGUAUGACCCUCCUAUAUUCAGUGGUCUAGUAUUAGAGGAUGCUCAGGGAUUUUUGGAGGAGUGCCACCGUAUCCUCUGCACUAUGGGCUUAGAAGAGUCGAGUGGGGUUUCUUUCACUACCUUUCAGCUUCGAGGAGUAGCCUAUCAGUGGUGGCGUACUUAUGAGUUAGAUAGUCCGACUAAGGUAGCUUCCCUUUUAUGGACUCAGUUCUCGAACAUAUUUUUGAGAGAGUAUAUCCCUUAGAGCCUUAGGGAUGCAUGGUGCACAGAGUUUGAGUAGUUGCGCUAGGGUUCUAUGACUGUUUCAGAGUAUGCAGUCUGUUUUAGUGACUUGGCUAGACAUGCACCAGCCUUGGUUUCUAUAGUUCGAGAGAGGGUUUGCCGGUUUAUUGAGGAGCUCAUUCCCAGCAUCAGGACUAGCAUGGCAUAUGAGUUAGAGAUGGAUAUCGCGUAUUAGCAGUUGGUGAGUAUUUCUAGGAGUGUAGAGGGCAUGCUUGCUCGGGAUAAAGAGGCGUGAGAGGCCAAGAGGUCUCGAGAGUCGGGCCAUUAUUCUUGUGCCCAUGCCCCAGCUGUAGUUCGUCAUGGUAGGGUUAUGUGUCACCCCAUUCAUUCAGCUCUUCCAGCCACCAGUGGUAUUCCAGUUUCUCCCAGACCUCAGGAGCCUUAUUAUGCACCUCUAGUAUCUAGUGUGCCUCCUGCACGGGGUGCUUUCAGUGGUCAGUCUAGCAGACCUGGUCCGAGCCAGCCACAUCUUCCAUACCCCCAGAGCUUGUUUUGAGUGUGGUGACACUUGUCAUAUGGUGAGGGAUUGCCCCAGAAUUAAGAAGGGUGCACCUCCACAGACUUCUCAGCUACAACGUGCUCCACAGGGUUCCUAGGCUAUGAUUACGGCACUAACUGCCACCCCACCUGCCCAGCUAGCUCGAGGUGGAGGUUGGGGAGGUAGAGGUCACCCUAGAGGGGGAGGCGAGGCUAGAUACUAUGUCCUUCCUGCUCAUAUAGAGGUUAUUACUUCCGAUUCUAUCAUUACAAGUAUUGUUCCGGUCUGUCAUAGAGAUGCAUCGGUUCUAUUUGAUCCCGACUUCAUUUAUUCUUAUGUGUCAUCUUAUUUUGCCCCACAUUUGGGUGUAUCUCAGGAUUUAUGAGUUCGCCUGUUUAUGUAUCUACUCCUGUGGGAGAUUCUUUUGUUGUGGACCGCGUUUAUCGGUCAUGUUUGAUCAUUCUUGGUGGUUUUGAGAUGAGACCGAUUUAUUAUUACUCAGCAUGGUAGAUUUUGAUGUUAUCUUAGGCAUGGACUGGUUGUCGCCCCAUUAUGCUAUUCUUGAUUGUCAUGCCAAAAUUGUGACGCUAGCUAUGCCAGGUGUACCGCGAUUAGAGUGGAGGAGUACCUUAGACUACACUCCCAGUAGAGUUAUUUCAUUUCUUAAAGCUCAGCGAAUGGUUGAGAGGGGGUAUGAUGCGUAUCUAGCUUAUAUGAGAGAUGCUAGUAUUGAUACCCCUACAGUUGAUUCAGUCCCAGUAGUGGGAUUUCCCUGAUGUGUUUCUAGCUAAUCUUUCGGGCAAGCUGCCCGAUAGAGAUAUUGAUUUUGGCAUUAAUUUGUUGCCAGACACUCUACCCAUUUCUAUUCCUCCUUAUCAUAUGACCCCUCCUAAGUUGAAGGAGUUGAAGGAACAGUUACAGGAAUUGCUUGAUAAGCAUUUCAUUUGGCCCAGUGUGUCACCUUGGGGUGCUCCUAUCUUGUUUUUGAAGAAAAGGGAUGGUUUUAUGCGUAUGUGCAUUGAUUAUCGCUAGUUGAACAAAGUUAUAAUGAAGAACCGAUAUCCUUUGCCUCGUAUUGGUGACCUAUUUGAUCAGUUACAGGGUGCCUGAGUGUUUUCCAAGAUUGAUUUGCGUUCAGGUUAUCAUCAGUUGAAGAUUUGCGAGUCAAAUAUCCUGAAGACUGCUUUCAGGACUCGUUAUGGUCAUUAUGAGUUCCUUGUUAUGUCAUUUGGGCUGACCAAUGCCCCCAACAACAUUUUUGCAUUUGAUGCACAGUGUAUCUUGACUCGUUCAUCAUUAUUUUUAUUGAUGACAUUCUGGUGUACUCCCGGAGUCGGGAAGAUCAUGAGCAGCGCCUGAGGACUGUGCUUCAGACCUUGAGAGAGAAGAAAUUAUAUGCAAAGUUCUCAAAAUGUGAGUUCUGGUUGGAUUCACUACCAUUUUUGGGUCACGUAGUAUCCAGUGAAGGGAUCAAGGUAGAUUCGAAGAAGGUAGAAGCAGCGUAGAGUUGGUCCAGGCCGUCCUCAGCUACAUAUAUCCGGAGCUUUCUUAGAUUGGCGGGCUAUUACCGUUAAUUUGUUGAGAGAUUUUUGUCUAUUACAGUACCUAUGACCAGGCUUACCCAGAAGGGUGCUCCAUUCAGGUGGACGGAAGAGUGUGAGGAGAUCUAUCAGAAAGUCAAUACAGUUUUAACUACAGCCCCAGUAUUGGUAUUGUCUUUAGGUUCGGGGUCUUAUACAGUUUAUUGUGAUGCAUCACGAGUUGGCCUCGGUGUGGUAUUGAUACAGUACCGUAGGGUGAUUGCCUACACAUCUAGGUAGCUGAAGGUGCAUGAAAAAACUAUCAUGUCCCUGACCUUGAGUUAGCUGCUAUUGUUUAUGCCUUGAAGAUUUGGAGUCACUAUUUGUACGGGGUUCCUUGUGAGAUCUAUACUGAUCACUGGAGUGUGCAACAUCUCUUCAAGCAAAAGGAUCUUAAUUUGCAUCAGAGGAGGUAGUUAGAGCUGCUUAAGGAUUAUGAUAUCACAAUUUUGUACCACUAGGGGAAGACCAAUAUGGUGGCCGAUGCUUUGAGUCGUUGGGCAGAGAGUUUGGAGAGUUUAGCUUAUCUACCAGCAGUAGAGAGGCCCAUGGCAUUAGAUGUUCAGGCCUUAGCCUGCCAGUUUGUGAGAUUGGAUAUUUCUGAGCCUAGUCGAGUAUUGGCUUGUGUGCUCUCCUGGUCCUCUCUUUAUGAUCGUAUUAGGGAGCGUCAGUAUGAUGAUCCCUAUUUGCAUGUCCUUAAGGACACGGUCUAGCACGGUGAUGCUAAAGAGGUCACUAUUGGGGAUGAUGGUGCUUUGAGGAUGUAGGGUAGGCUUUGUGUGACUAAUGGGGACAAUUUACGUGAGUUGAUUCUUCAGGAGGCUCAUAGCUCAUGGUACUCUAUCCAUUCGGGUGCCUCGAAGAUGUAUCAGUACUUAAGGGAGCAUUAUUGGUGGAGGAUGAUGAAGAAAGAUAUUGUGGAGUAUGUUAUCAGUCCAGCAUUCAGAUGGCACCGUAUGAGGCUCUGUAUGGUAGGCGAUGUUGAUCCCCACUGGGUUGGUUCGAGAUGAACGAGGCUAGAUUAUUGGGCACAGACUUUGUUCAGGACGCCUUGGAGAACGUUAAGGUGAUUCAAGAUAGACUUCGCACAGCCCAGUCUAGACAGAAGAGUUAUGCGGACCAGAAGGUUAGCGAUGUUUCAUUUAUGGUUGGAGAGCGGGUCUUGUUUUGGGUUUUGCAUAUAAGGGGCGUUAUGAGAUUCAGAAAGAGGGGCAAGUUGAGCCUAAGGUUUAUUGGUCCCUUUGAGGUGUUGCAGUGUGUUGGGGAGAUUGCUUAUGAGCUUGCGUUACCUCCCAGCUUGGCAAGAGUUCAUCCGAUAUUUCAUGUUUCGAUGCUCCGGGGGUAUCACGAUGAUCCGUCUCACAUGUUGGAUUUCAGCUCAGUCUAGUUGGCAAGCAUCUAUCUUAUGUUGACGAGCCAGUGGCAUUGGAUAGGCAGGUUCGAAAGCUGAGGUCAAAGAACAUUGCAUCAGUAAAGGUUUAGUGGCGGGGUCAGCGGGCCGAUGAGGUGACUUGGGAGACCGAGCAGGAUAUGCGUAGCCAUUAUCCCCAUCUUUUCACCACUUCAGGUAUGUCUCUAUGCUCGUUCGAGGAUGAAUGACUGUUUAAAGAGGGGGAGGAUGUAACGACUCAGCCAAUCGUUUUGAGAGUUAGAGCCCCGAUCCCCUAUUAACUACUUUCCUCAUAUCUUUUUCUACUAUUGUGACUUGCCGGGAAGAUUCGUUUUAAGUUUCGGAGUAUUUUGGGACACUUAGUCCCUAAAUGGAAGCUUGAGUUUUAGAAUUUGGACCGCAGUCAGAACUAUGUAAAGACGACUCCGGAAUGGAGUUCGGUCGAUUCCGUUAGCUCCGUUGGGUGAUUUUUGGCUUAGGGGCGUGUCCAGAUUGUGUUUUUGAGGUCCGUAGCUCAUUUAGGCUUGAAAUGGCAAAAGUCGAAUUUUUGGAGUUUUGGGCCGAUAGUGGAAAUUUUGAUAUCAGGGUCGGAAUCCAAUUCCAGGAGUUGGAGUAGGUCCGUAGUGUUGAAUUUGACUUGGGUGAAAAAUUUGAGAUCAAUCGGACGUGGUUUGAUAGGUUUCGGCAGCGGUUAUGGAAAAUUGAAGUUUCAAGUUCAUUAAGUUUGGAUUGGAGGGUGAUUUGUGUUUUUAGCAAUUUUUGAUGUGUUUUCAGGGCUCGGCUAAAUUCAUAUAGUGUUUUAGGAUUGGUUGGUAUGUUUGGUUGAGGUCCUGAGGGCCUCAGGUGUGUUUCAGAUGCUCAACAGAUUGGUUUGAUACUUAUGCAAAUUGCUGAAGUUGUUGCACCCGGUGUUUUCACACCUGCACACUUUGGGCCGCAAGUGUUGGAGCCACAAAAGCGGCUAAGGAACCGCAGAAGCGGAUAUGGGCCUGGUACAGCUAGGUCUACCAAUGCGGUGAGGGGUCCGCAGAAGCGGUUAGGGACCGUAUGAACAGGCUUGCAGGUGCGGCCUAGUACUCGCAGAUGCGAUCCUAGCAUACUUAAGUGAAUUCCACACCUGCGAUGGAAUAUCCGCUGGUGUGGUACCGCAGGUGCGGAGAAGGGUCUGCAGGUGUGGUUUGACUGGAAGAAAAAGGGAAAAAUUGAGGGUUUGAUUUCAUUCUCCAUUUUUGGACCUAGAGAGCUCGGAUUGAGGCGACAUUUCUAGGGAUUUUUAGAGGAAGCUUGUGGGUAGCGAUUCCUUACUUGAUUUUGGUUGCAUUUCAUUAAUAUAUUGUUGUUUUCUUCAUUUAAUCAAGGGAUUUGAGUGUGAAAGUUGGAAAAACGGGGGGAAAUCUCCCCAAUCGAAUUUUCGAGUUUUGAGUGAGAUUUUGACAUCGCAUUUGGAUAAUUUUGGGUACGAGUGAACUCGUGAGUGAAUGGGUGUUCAUAAUUUGUGACUUUUACCCGAUUUCGAGAUGUAGGUCCGGGAGGCUUUUUGGGCAUUUUUCUAAUUUCUUGCCUUUGCUUUGACUUUAUUAGCUAGAUUAGUUUCUUGUAGCUAUAUUUAUGUUAUGUAAUUGGGUUUGUGCUAGAUUUUGGGGCCAUCCGGAGCCGGAUUAUUCGUGGAAAGAGCAUUAUUACAUGAUUGAUUUGAGCUUUGUUCGAGGUAAGGUGGNNNNNNNNNNNNNNNNNNNNNNNNNUUUGAACUACAAUAGCAUACGUAAAUACCUUGUUUAUAUUAGAAAAGCAUGCCUACGUGUUUUAAAUGUCUAUUUGAAUCUGUGCAGCAUGUUUAGUGAAAUUACUUUUUUUCUUUAAUGUGAACAUAGCCUAUAUUGUAGGUCUCCUUGCUGUAACUGUUGGUUAUAUCCUAUGUACUGCAUAUUUACUUUGGGACUACGGAACGGUAUUCCGGGAGAUCCCCCUGUACUGCCUAUUUACUUUGGGACUAUGGAACGGUAUUCCGGGAGAUCCCUCAGCACUGCAUAUUUACUUUGGGACUACGGAACGGUAUUCCGGGAGAUCCCCCUGCACAUUUACGUUUCUACGGACGGUAUUCCGGGAGAUCCCCUGUUGCUAUAAUUGUGUUCUGAGCUGUUGGCUUUCAUUGAAUUUUAUUCUUGUUAAAUUUCCGUACUUAUUUUUAUAUAAUAUUUUCUUUCUGUCUUAUUUCAUUAUAUAUAUACUAGUAGGGCCCUGACCUAAUCUCGUCACUACUCGACCGAGGUUUGGCUUGGCACUUACUAGGUACCAUUGUGGUAUAUUCAUGCCCUUUCCUGCAUAUUCUUUCUGUGUGCAAAUCGAGGUACUAGCUAUCAGCCUCGAGUCUAGCUGUGUGGUUGCUACUUCAGGAGAUUUCAAAGUACAUCUGCCUGCAUCCGCAGACCUCAGAUUCCCCUUCUAUUCCCUGUGUUCAUUUUCUUCUUUUUCGUAGAAAUGAUGUAUAAAACAGUUAGGACUUCUUAGAAGCUUGCGACAUUGCGACAUUCCGGGUUUUAGGAAAGAUGAUUAUUGUGUAUGCCGCGUGACACCGUUUUGCUUAUUUAUUUUAUCUGUUAGCUGUUAUCCUUGUGUUUUCAUUUCAUUUCCGCAAUAUUAGGCUUACCUAGUCGGAGAGACUAGGUGCUGUCACGACAGUUUAUAGAGGGAGAAAUUGGGCUGUGACAUGUUUGGGCAGGUUGAACCGGCAAAUGAUGUUCUUCUAUAUGAAGUUGAUUACUUCUUGCUCACGAACUUGGGCGAAUGCGCCUACUUCCACUCAUUUAGAGAAGUAGUUAAUCAAAACUAAAAGGAAUUUAACGUUACCUCAUCUCGGCGAGAGUGGUCCCACGAUGUCCAUCUCCCAUUUGAUGAACGAUUAUGGUGAGGUGACAAAAUGGAGGCGUUCACCCACUUUGUGGAUUAUCGGGGCAUACUUCUAGCACUGUUCGCACUUUUUUAUGAAUUCCAGGGCGUAUUUCUGCAUAGUAGGCCAAUAGUAUUCUGCCCAUAUAUGGCAUAUGACAAGUGUUCGGUCACCAGAAUGACUGCCCCAGUGGCCUUUGUAGACUUCCCCGAGGACACGUUGAGUCUGAUUUGAGGUCAAACAUUUUGCAAAGAGGCCACCGUACGUUCUUCUAUAGAAUUCAUUGCUGAGGAAGUUGUACCUUGCUAUUUGCAUUCUCAACUUCCUAGCUUCAUUUUUAUCAUUUGGGAGAACACUGUCCUGCAAGUAAUUUAUAAUACAAUUGUGCCAGUCCUAGGUUAAGUUUAUAUACUUUACCUCGAAGUGCUCUAAGGUUGAGCUAAGAAGAUGCAUCAUAUUCUCGACUCCAUGAGUUAUACUUCUGGUCAUGGCGACCAAUUUUGUGAGGCUGUCUACCUCGACGUUCUAAGUCUGAGGAAUCUGGUCGAGCUGACAUUCAUCCAACUUGGGUAACAGUUUACAGAUCUCGGUCUGGUAUUUCUAUAACCUCUGCUCUUUGAUCUGGAAAGUCCCAGUGAUUGGAUUGAUUACGAGCUGGGAGUCACAUCAUACUUUUAGGCAUCUCGCUCCAUAAUCAAGUGCUAGCGUCAACCCUACAAUUAUUGCCUCAUACUCGAAUCAUUGUUAAUCAUAUCUAGGCACCUUAUAGAUUGGCAGAUUAUUUCACUGAUGGGACUUCGAGCACAAGUCCUAGUCCUGACCCGUAUGCAUUGGACGCGCCAUCGGUGUGCAGGACCCAAACUUCUUGUGUUAGGCCUGAAGCUCGCAUGGCGCCCUCGGGCAUUACCUUGGCACUAAAGUCUGCGACAUAGUGGGCGAGCACUUAUGAUUUUUUGGUUGUGCAAGGCUGGUAAGUGAUGUCAUGUUCACUUAGCUCUAUUGCCCAUUUGGCCAAGCUCCCUAACAGUUCGAGUUUGUGCAGUAUGUUCCUGAAAGGAAACGUGGUGACGACCGAGAAUGGAUGGCAUUAGAAGUAUGGCCUGAAUUUUCUUGAAGCUACGACAAGGGCCAGGGCCAAUUUCGCAAGGUAAAGGUAUCUUCUCUUAGUGUCAAUAAGUGUUUUAUUGAUAUAGUAAAUUAGAGAUUAUGUACCUUUCUCUUCCCGAACUAGGACUGCACUUACCACUACUUAUGAAAUGGCGAGGUAGACAAGGAGAUGUUCUUCAAGCUAAGGCUUUGAGAGCAAGGGCGGCGAUGACAGGUAUUCCUUGAGUUCCUUCAAAGCUUGUUUACAUUUCGGUGUCCAUUCGAGGCCGUUUUCCUUUUUGAGUACGUUGAAGAAUUUUUGGCACCUGUUGGAUGACCUCGAGAUAAAUCUAGAUAGGGCGGUGAUUCGACCAGUCAUUCUUUGGACUUGUUUCUUGGUAGUUAGGUGUUUUGAUAUCCCGUCGAUGGCUUUAAUUAAAUCAUGGUUGACCUCGAUUCCGCGCUGUGAUACUAGGAAACCCAAAAAAUUUAGUCCAAGUUAUGCUAAAUGCGCAUUUCUCGGGGUUUAGUUUCAUCCCAUAUUUCCUCAAUAUUUCGAAUGCUUCCUUCAGAUGGUGGAUGUGAUCCUCGAUCCUCAAAGAUCUGACUAACAUGUCGUCGAUGUAUACUCUCAUGGUCUUGCCGAGUUGGGUUUUGAACAUCUUUGUGACCAGCCUUUGAGAGGUAGCCACCGCGCUCUUUAACCUAAAUGGCAUGACCCGGUAGAUAUACGUUCCCAUGUGAGUGUUGAAUGUGGUUUUCUCCCAGUAUCCUCUUCCAUAAAUAUCUAGUUGUAACCCGAGUAAGAGUCCAGGAUGCUCAGCAACUUAUGUAUUGUUGUUGCGUCGAUGAGUUGAUCGAUGUGUGGUAAUGGGAACGAAUCCUUCAGACAUGCUUUGUUCAGAUUGGUGAAGUCCAUGCACAUUCUCCACUUUUCAUUCUUCUUUUUUACCAUUAACACGUUAGCAAUCUACUUGGGGUACUUCGACUCCCUAGUAGAGCCAUUGGCCAACAAUUUCUCCACUUCUUCAUGGACGGCCUCGUUGAUGGCGGGGUUGAACUUUUGUCAAACCUGCCUUGCUGGAGGGUACUAAGGGUCGACAUUUAACUUGUGUGUGGCUAUCUCUUUGGGGAUUCAUGGCAUAUUUUCAUGGCUAAAAGAAAACAAAUCUCCGUUAGCUAUAAAGAAUUAACUAAACUUACAUGGGUCUUCGGGUUUGCAUCCUAUAUGAGCCUUUUUGCUGGGGUUGUUUGGAUUUAGCUGGACCAGAUUGAGGUCCUCUAUGGUCGAUCCUGCAACUUUGACUGUUUCUGGAUCCAUAAUGGUGUCCUUGACUUUUGCCUAUAGGGAUCUCGACCCUACUGAUUGCUAUGCUUCAUUUUCUUUUUCUUUUUAUUUUUCUGAGUAGUCGCAUUGUCGAGGGCGAUCCAAUAGCAUUCCUUGGAUGCACGUUGCUCCCCUCGUAUGCUGAAUAUUCCUUAGGGGGUUGGGAACUUGAUCACCUGGUACAAGCUAGGGGGGACUGCUCUUAUAGGGUAUAUCCACGGUUGACCUAUGAUAGCAUUAUAUGUUGUGUCCUGGUCCAUGAUGUGGAACAAGGCCUCCAAUGUUAUCCCGCUGGCGAGGACGGGGAGUGUGAUCUCGCUCGAAGCCCGUUCAAUUGCAUUGUUAAAAUUGGUUAGUGUAAUGCAGCGCAACACUAUUUUUUAUUCGAGUCGCAUUUGUGCGAGGACUCGAGGAUGGAUAACGCACGCUCCGCUUCUGUCAUCCACCAUAAUCCUCCUAACAUCAGUAUCAAGAAUGUGUAAAGUUAUGGAAAGUGCAUCAUUGUGAGGGAAAGUCAAACCGUCAGCAUUUGGCUCGUCGAAGAUGAUACUCUUUUCGAGGCCGUCAUACCAUUCAUGGGUGAUCGAUCUCUUGAGUUUUUGAGUGGCGGUAAACUUGAUGCCAUUGAUGGAGGUGUCGUUACAGCCUCCAAUAAUUAUGCUGAUGGUACGAGCGGGAGAUGGCAACUUUGGCGGGCCUGGGCGUUCUCGGCCCUUUGCUAAGGUGUUCCUGCCUCUGUCACUAAGCAGCUCUUUGAGGUGUCCUUAUUACAGUAGAGUCACCACUUCUUACCUUAAAGCGUGGAAGUCUUCCGUCUUCUGUCCUCGGUCUUAGUGGAACUUAUAGAAGGCGUCCGACUUUCUUGUUCUUGGGGUGGACCUCAUCUUUGGUGGCCACUUCACCUUUAGUCCUGGCUUCUCGAGUGUGUAGACCACCUUUGUAGAUGACACACAAAAAUUAUGAGUAGAAAGUAAAGGGACCAUACCUCAGUCGUUUCUGUGGAUGCAUGAUCUUGGUUUAGAGGGGUUGUCUUCGCGGCGGAAGUUGGGGAUGCGUGGUGUGAUAUAAGGUUAAUAUCGAUCUCUGGUUGGUUGCAGCAUCGAAGGGUCUCUCCUUGUGUUUUCCCUAUGCUCCCUCUUUGGUUCAGAUUGCAAUGAGAUGAGUUGUCGUGUUGUUCCAUUGAGUUCCUCAUCGUCCGCUUUGACCUCGGCACAAUAGACAUUAUGGAUCUCGUCCCAGGUGGCUAGUGGAUAUUUUAUCAACUAGCUUAGAAACUUUCUAGUUUCCCUCUACCCUUCUCUGUUCACCCCAUUCUAGAAGGAUGCUACGGCCAUUCCUUCGAAGAUGUUCGGUAAAGUCAUCCUUACCCUAUUGAAUCGAGCCAAGAAGUACCUUAGUCCUUCCCCUAGGGAUUGCUAAUGGCGAAGAUAUCGUUUACCCUGGUUUCGGCUUUCUUGUUAUCCACCAUUUUCUUGAAUGUUUUUAUGGAGUAGGAUGCCAGCUACGAGUACCACAUCAACUUCCCCAUGUGAGGGUUUUGCCAAACUUUUUUACCAAGAUAGAAGAAACCUGUUCUUUGGUGAGAUCAUUGCCUUUUACUACGGUGACGUAAUAAGUCACAUGGUCCUCGGGAUCAGUCAUCUCGUCGUAGAUUCUGAGGUACAUGGGCAUCUUGAAAUUUUAGGUAUAGCAUGAGGGGCUGCCUCCUCCUUGUAUGGUUGUUCCACGAACCCGCCAACAUCUCUUUUUGGUAUCAAUUUUGGGGAACCUGGUAUUUUGGCUACCCGUUCUUGAUGCUCUUUCAUCUUCUCCUUGAGUGGUUGUUCUCGUUCUCCCUUUUCUCUAUUCGUUUGAACUCGACGACGAGAGCGUUUUCACCUGCACUAUUAGCAAUUGUACGGUUAUUACCUAAAGCUGAGAGGUUUAGUUGAUCAUCCCGCCCACUCUUGUGCUGGGCCGCAUGGAUAUUUGGGGUUUCUACGAUCUUGCAUGGGACCUGCUUGCUCAUCACGAUGACUAAGGUAUUCGUUAGCCGGGCUUCUAGAAGCUUUUUGAUGGCAGGUGGUUUUCCUUCUUCUAGUGAUGUGGAAGCCUCGUUGCCGUUGUGUUUGGUCGUGCUACAGAAAGGUGCAAGUGACUUCCUUCGCUCGGGGGAUGUCGUAGGAGUUGUUUCUUCAUCUUGAGUUUUGUACCCUUCGUCGAUGACACUCAUUAGAUUGAGCGGGAUGUUGUCUGCCGCUCUUGUUCCUUUUCCUUGGUCGACUUUUCCCUGAUUACCUGCUAUGGAAUUCUUGUAUGCAAAGACAAAAGAAAUAACAACUUUGCCAUAUGUUAGGUUAACAAGUUAUGAAAGUUGUAGAUUCGAAUGAAAACUAAUAGUUUGACUAAGAAAUCCCCACAGACGGUGCCCAACUGUAUGACCCAAAAAAUAGAUCUAGGUAUUUAUACGAUUAGAUUUAUAGAAAAGAAGGGUUAAACAUAGACAAUAUCAAUAUUCAAUAGCAGAUCUAGCACUUUUAGGGCGAUAUAUUUAAUGUAUAGUAUUAGAUAUGAUUAUCCUAAAGCAAUGAUGGAGCAAUAAAAGCUUAUAAAUGUAAGAGAUAACAAUAAAAGAUAAUAAAUGACUUUUGAGUAAUAAAUGAGAUAGAAUUCCCCCGACAAGGGUGGGAUCUUCCAAUAUUUUUCAGACAGUGAUAGAUGGUAAUAAGCAGUUGAAUAUUCCAAUUCUUCUUGGAUUGGGAGAGAAGAGUAAAAGAAAAUAAGUGUAAAGUUAGGCUUUGUUUCUAUUCAAUAAAGUGAGUAUCUUGCACAGAGAAUGUUGAUGAUAUUCUUUACAAAAAAAUCCAAUCCUCUUUUUUCGUCUACAUCUCUUUCUAUUUAUAAAAAUACAUGUGCUCAAAUCCUAGAUAGUACAACAGUAAGGAAUAUACAUUAGACUAUUCUCUAGGGAAUCUAAAUCCUAAAGUUGAUUGUCACUUCGUACCGAAGGCGGAUGCUCGUCCUUGUCUUUUGUUGAAUCAUUUCGAUUUUUGACACCCAACUUAUUUUUCGCGUCUGACCUCGACCUCUUGGAGUGAGGUUGACACGUCACAGCCUUCAAAGGCCCUAUUGUUCUUGACCGGGUUAAAAAUCUAGGAUAAAGUUUUUUCCCAUACAAAUAGUAGUAGGAUUACUAGAACUAGAAGUAGAAAACACAUUCAUAAAGUUCAAUAUAACAUUGAGGUCACUAAGCUUGACCAAAUUAUUAUACAUAGUACUAGAUAUAAGCUUAGUAGUAACAACUCCAUCCCUGUCUUGGUGAAGUAGUGUUUGACUGGAUAUGGAGGUGUUAAUAAGAUGACUACUUGAUAUACAUUGGCCUUUUUGAUUCCUUGGUUAGCCAAAAGGUGUGCGAUUUUGUUGCCUUCAUGGAAGUUGUGCCGAACCAUUGGAUUCUCCAGUUUUCUCAAUAGCCUGCACUCAUUAAUUAAAUUAUUAAAAAGAGGAAUAUCAUUUUUUCUUAUAAGUGUAUGAUUUCUGCAGCGUCUGUCUCAACUUAAAGAGGCACAAGAUGUCUUUCCGUUGCAAUUUGUAGUCCUAACUUAAGUGUUUGCGACUCAGUAUGAGUGGAAUUGCAUCCAAAGAUUUUACUAGAGAAGCCCAUCAUCUGAUUUUCUUGUG